UGGGGAAUAUUGCAAAAUGGAGGGAACUCUGAUGCAGCGACGCCGCGUGAACGAAGAAGGCUUUCGAGUCGUAAAGUUCUUUUAUAUGGGAAGAUAAUGACGGUACCAUAAGAAAAAGCCCCGGCUAACUACGUGCCAGCAGCCGCGGUAAUACGUAGGGGGCUAGCGUUGUCCGGAAUCACUGGGCGUAAAGGGUUCGCAGGCGGAAAUGCAAGUCAGGUGUAAAAGGCAGUAGCUUAACUACUGUAAGCAUUUGAAACUGCAUAUCUUGAGAAGAGAAGAGGUAAGUGGAAUUUUUAGUGUAGCGGUGAAAUGCGUAGAUAUUAAAAAGAAUACCGGUGGCGAAGGCGACUUACUGGGCUCAUUCUGACGCUGAGGAACGAAAGCGUGGGUAGCAAACAGGA
rnacentral:rRNA from 1 species